GACGAACGCUGGAGGCGUGCUUAACACAUGCAAGUCGAACGAAGGGGCGAACGGGUGAGUAAUACGAGAGUAAACUGCCCUCCAUUUUGGGAUAAGCCUUGGAAACGGGGACUAAUACCGAAUAAAGUGGGAUGGGCUCGCGGCCUAUCAGCUUGUUGGUGGGGUGAUGGCCUACCAGGGCGGUGACGGGGAGGCGGCCUGAGAGGGUGACCGGCAACAUUGGGACUAGUCUAUGGCCCAGACUCCUCCGGUAGGCAGCAGUGGGGGAUAUUGCAAAUUGGGCGAAAGCCUGAUGCAGCGACGCCGCGGGGGGGAUGAAGGCUUUCGGGUUUUAAACCUCUUUCGCUUUCGAACGGGUAGGUGGAGAAGAAGCGCCGGCUAACUACGUGCCAGCAGCCGCGGUAAUAC
rnacentral:rRNA from 1 species